rnacentral:rRNA from 1 species
GACGAACGCUGGCGGCGUGCUUAACACAUGCAAGUCGAACGGAAAAGCCCUGCUUUUGUGGUGUGCUCGAGUGGCGAACGGGUGAGUAACACGUGAGUAACCUGCCCUAGACUUUGGGAUAACUUCAGGAAACUGGGGCUAAUACCGGAUAGGAGCUCCUGCUGCAUGGUGGGGGUUGGAAAGUUUCGGCGGUUGGGGAUGGACUCGCGGCUUAUCAGCUUGUUGGUGGGGUAGCGGCUUACCAAGGCUUUGACGGGUAGCCGGCCUGAGAGGGUGACCGGCCACAUUGGGACUGAGAUACGGCCCAGACUCCUACGGGAGGCAGCAGUGGGGAAUAUUGCACAAUGGGCGGAAGCCUGAUGCAGCGACGCCGCGUGAGGGAUGACGGCCUUCGGGUUGUAAACCGCUUUCGGCUGUGACGAAGCGUGAGUGACGGUAAUGGGAAAAGAAGCACCGGCUAACUACGUG